rnacentral:rRNA from 1 species
GAUGAACGCUGGCGGCGUGCCUAAUACAUGCAAGUCGAGCGAACGGACGAGAAGCUUGCUUUUCUGAUGUUAGCGGCGGACGGGUGAGUAACACGUGGAUAACCUACCUAUAAGACUGGGAUAACUUCGGGAAACCGGAGCUAAUACCGGAUAAUAUUUUGAACCGCAUGGUUCAAAAGUGAAAGACGGUCUUGCUGUCACUUAUAGAUGGAUCCGCGCUGCAUUAGCUAGUUGGUAAGGUAACGGCUUACCAAGGCAACGAUGCAUAGCCGACCUGAGAGGGUGGUCGGGCACACUGGAACUGAGACACGGUCCAGAAUCCUAAGGGAGGCAGGAGUAGGGAAUCUUCCGAAAUGGGCGAAAGCCUGACGGAGCAACGCCGCGUGAGUGAUGAAGGUCUUCGGAUCGUAAAACUCUGUUAUUAGGGAAGAACAUAUGUGUAAGUAACUGUGCACAACUUGACGGUACCUAAUCAGAAAGCCACGGCUAACUACGUG